rnacentral:rRNA from 1 species
UCGUGACUGCGUGCCUUUUGAAGAAUGAGCCUGCGAGUUUGCGGUAUGUUGCGAGGUUAACCCGUGUGGGGUAGCCGUAGCGAAAGCGAGUCCGAAUAGGGCGUUGAGUAGCGUGCCCAAGACCCGAAGCGGAGUGAUCUAGCCAUGGGCAGGUUGAAGCGGAGGUAAGACUUCGUGGAGGACCGAACCCACCAGGGUUGAAAACCUGGGGGAUGACCUGUGGUUAGGGGUGAAAGGCCAAUCAAACUCCGUGAUAGCUGGUUCUCCCCGAAAUGCAUUUAGGUGCAGCGUCGUGUGUUUCUUGCCGGAGGUAGAGCACUGGAUAGGCGAUGGGCCCUACCGGGUUACUGACCUUAGCCAAACUCCGAAUGCCGGUAAGUGAGAGCGCGGCAGUGAGACUGUGGGGGAUAAGCUCCAUGGUCGAGAGGGAAACAGCCCAGAGCAUCGACUAAGGCCCCUAAGCGUGUGCUAAGUGGGAAAGGAUGUGGAGUCGCAGAGACAACCAGGAGGUUGGCUUAGAAGCAGCCACCCUUGAAAGAGUGCGUAAUAGCUCACUGGUCAAGUGAUUCCGCGCCGACAAUGUAGCGGGGCUCAAGCACACCGCCGAAGUCGUGUCAUUGCAGCAUGAGGGCCAACGCCCGCUGUGAUGGGUAGGGGAGCGUCGUGUGCCGGGUGAAGCAGCCGUGGAAACGAGUUGUGGACGGUUCACGAGUGAGAAUGCAGGCAUGAGUAGCGAUACAAGAGUGGGAAACUCUUGCGCCGAUUGACUAAGGGUUCCUGGGUCAAGCUGAUCUGCCCAGGGUAAGUCGGGACCUAAGGCGAGGCCGACAGGCGUAGUCGAUGGACAACCGGUUGAUAUUCCGGUACCCGCUUUGAAACGCCCAGUAUCGAAUCCAUUAAUGCUAAAGCCGUGAAGCCGGCCUGGAGUCUUCGGACAAAGGGACGUGGUGGAGCCGCUGACCCAAGGUGGUAGUAGGUAAGCGAUGGGGUGACGCAGGAAGGUAGUCCAGCCCGGGCGGUGGUUGUCCCGGGGUAAGGGUGUAGGGCGCUGUCUAGGCAAAUCCGGACAGCAUGAUGCCUGAGACCUGAUGCCGAGCCGAUUGUGGUGAAGUGGAUGAUCCUAUGCUGUCGAGAAAAGCCUCUAGCGAGUUUCAUGGCGGCCCGUACCCUAAACCGACUCAGGUGGUCAGGUAGAGAAUACCGAGGCGUUCGGGUGAACUAUGGUUAAGGAACUCGGCAAAAUGCCCCCGUAACUUCGGGAGAAGGGGGGCCAUUGCUGGUGAUGAGUCUUGCACUCUGAGCUGGUGGUGGCCGCAGAGACCAGCGAGAAGCGACUGUUUACUAAAAACACAGGUCCGUGCGAAGCCGUAAGGCGAUGUAUACGGACUGACGCCUGCCCGGUGCUGGAACGUUAAGGGGACCGGUUAGUCACAUUUCGGUGUGGCGAAGCUGAGAACUUAAGCGCCAGUAAACGGCGGUGGUAACUAUAACCAUCCUAAGGUAGCGAAAUUCCUUGUCGGGUAAGUUCCGACCUGCACGAAUGGCGUAACGACUUCUCGACUGUCUCAACCAUAGGCCCGGUGAAAUUGCAUUACGAGUAAAGAUGCUCGUUUCGCGCAGCAGGACGGAAAGACCCCGGGACCUUUACUAUAGCUUGAUAUUGGUGUUCGGUUCGGCUUGUGUAGGAUAGGUGGGAGACUGUGAAGCAUCAACGCCAGUUGGUGUGGAGUCAUUGUUGAAAUACCACUCUGGUCGUGCUGGAUGUCUAACCUGGGUCCGUGAUCCGGAUCAGGGACAGUGUCUGGUGGGUAGUUUAACUGGGGCGGUUGCCUCCUAAAGAGUAACGGAGGCGCCCAAAGGUUCCCUCAGCCUGGUUGGCAAUCAGGUGUUGAGUGUAAGUGCACAAGGGAGCUUGACUGUGAGACUGACGGGUCGAGCAGGUACGAAAGUAGGGACUAGUGAUCCGGCGGUGGCUUGUGGAAGCGCCGUCGCUCAACGGAUAAAAGGUACCCCGGGGAUAACAGGCUGAUCUUCCCCAAGAGUCCAUAUCGACGGGAUGGUUUGGCACCUCGAUGUCGGCUCGUCGCAUCCUGGGGCUGGAGUCGGUCCCAAGGGUUGGGCUGUUCGCCCAUUAAAGCGGUACGCGAGCUGGGUUUAGAACGUCGUGAGACAGUUCGGUCCCUAUCCGCUGUGCGCGUAGGAGUCUUGAGAAGGGCUGUCCCUAGUACGAGAGGACCGGGACGGACGAACCUCUGGUGUGCCAGUUGUCCUGCCAAGGGCAUGGCUGGUUGGCUACGUUCGGAAAGGAUAACCGCUGAAAGCAUCUAAGCGGGAAGCCUGCUUCGAGAUGAGGACUCCCACCCCCUUUGA